CUGAGGUCAGGAGUUCGAGACCAGCCUGGCCAACAUGGUGAAACCCUGUCUGUACCAAAAAUACAAAAAAUUAGCCAGGUGUGGUGGCAGGCGCCUGUAAUCCCAGCUCCUCGGGAGGCUGAGGCAGGAGAAUCGCUUGAACCCGGAAGGCAGAGGUUGCAGUGAGCCAAGAUCACGCCACUGCACUCUAACCUGGGUGACACAGCGAGACUCCUUCUAAAAAAAGAAAAGGUGCAGCAAUGACUAGCCUUGUGCAUUCAUUUUUCUCCCCCCCAUCUUUAACACUUAUUUCUUUAACAGAAUUAUGGAGCGACUAUAAUUGAAGAUGGAAGUUUCGUGGGAAGGGAUAUUCAACAUAGUUAACAACCAAUAUGACCUGAUCACCAUCCAUUGGAAUAGCCAUAUGUCUAGGGCUGGAAUGGGGUUUUAGAAGCCUGAUAAAUCAGCAAUUCACACUUUAGCCAGGAAUCAGGGGGAGGUCAGAAACAUCCUAGGGAAAUGGGAAGGGCAAUGAAAGAACAUUUCAGAGGGUAUCAGAGAAUUUUACUAUUCUAACACCCAUUUAGUUAAACGUGUAUAAUAAUCAUCAGCCCAAUUUGUAUGUUUGCUAUUGAAAAGAUAAGGAUUAUAAUCUGAUUAUCUUGUCCUCUUGUGUCCAGAAUUGGUGGGUUCUUGGUCUCACUGACUUCAAGAAUGAAGCCUCGGACCCUCAUGGUGAGUGUUACAGCUCUUAAGAUGGCACGUCUGGAGUUUGUUCCUUCUGAUGUUUGGAUGUGUUGAGAGUUUCUUCCUCCUGGUGGGCUCGUGGUCUCGCUGGCUCAAGAGUGAAGCUGCAGACCUUCGCAGUGAGUGUUACAGCUCUUAAGGCAGUGUGUCUGGAGUUGUUCGUUCCUCCUGGUGGGCUCCUGGUCUUGCUGGCUUCAGGAGUGAAGCUGCAGACUUUCGUGGUGAGUGUUACAGCUCAUAAAAGCAGUGUGGACCCAAAGAGUGAGCAGUAGCAAGAUUUAUUGCAAACAGAAAAAAAAACAAAGCUUCUACAGUAUGUAAAGGAACCAGAGCAGGUUGUCACUGCUUGCUCGGGCAGCCUGCUUUUAUUCUCUUAUCUGGCCCCACCCACAUCCUGCUGAUUGGUCCAUUUUACAGAGAGCUGAGUGGUCUGUUUUGACAGGGUGCUGAUUGGUGCAUUUACAAUCCCUGAGCUAGACACAAAGUUUCUCCACCUCCCCACUAGAUUAGCUAGGUACAUCCACACAAAGGUUCUCCAAGUCCCCACCAGAGUAGCUAGAUACAGAGUGUCGAUUGGUGCAUUCGCAAACCCUGAGCUAGACACAGGGUGCUGAUUGGUGUGUUUACAAACCUUGAGCUAGAUACAGAGUGCCGAUUGGUGUAUUUACAAUCCCUGAGCUAGACAUAAAGGUUCUCCGCGUCCCCACCAGACUCAGGAGCCCAGCGGGCUUCAUCCAGUGGAUCCCGUACCCGGGUUGCAGGUGGAGCUGCUUGCCAGUCCCCCGCCGUGUGCCCGCACUCCUCAGCCCUUGGGUGGUCGAUGGGACUGGGAGCCGUGGAGUAGGGGGUGGCGCUUGUCGGGGAGGCUCAGGCUGCACAGGAGCCACGGAAGCGGGGAGGGGAGGCUCAGGCAUGGCGGGCUGCAGGUCCCGCGCCUUGCCCCGCGGGAAGGCAGCUAAGGCCCGGCGAGAAAUUGAGCACAGCAGCUGCUGGCCCAGGUGCUAAGCCCCUCACUGCCCCGGGCCGGCGGGGCGGGCAGGCAGGCCGCUCAGAGCGCAGGGUCCGCCGAGCCCACGCCCACCCGGAACUCACGCUGGUCCGCAAGCACCGCGCGCAGCCCGGGUUCCCGCCUGCGCCUCUCCCUCCACACCUCCCCGCAAGCUGAGGGAGCGGGCUCCGGCCUUGGCCAGCCCAGAAAGGGGCUCCCACAGUGCAGCGGCGGGCUGAAGGGCUCCACAAGUGCUGCCAAAGUGGGACCCCAGGCAGAGGAGGCGCCGAGAGCGAGCCAGGGCUGUGAGGACUGCCAGCACGCUGUCACCUCUCACUGUGAAAUUGGAGGAAAACUCAUCUGUUGAAGUCAAGGAGGAAGGUAGAAUGAUCAGAGUUUUGAAGAAGUGUUCAAAUAAUUAAUUGCUGGGAGUCCUAAGACAUUACGGAAGUAUGGUACAUUUGUUGGGCUGUAUUGAAGACACAACUAAGGUAUGGGAUAAUUAAUUCUUAGUGGUCUAAAGCUUGUGUUGACUAAAUUGUUUGUUUUCCAGGUAGUGUUCAACUUUUCUCUGGAAAAAAAAAAGCUGAAAACAAAUAAUUGGCUUUGUGUAGUGUUUGGUUUCUCCAGAUGAAUAGGCUGAAAGAGCAGAUGUACAAGAGACUUCGUGGUAUUGGCAAGAGAGUGAUUGACACAAAAGAUCAUGAACUCUAAAGUGAACAAUGAAGAGAGUAAAGAGAAAAGAGUCCUUAAAGUUAGCGAGAAAAUAUAAGGGCCAAUGCAAGGUUAAGAUUUCCUUGAAGAAUGUCUAGGUGGAAACAGUUAAAUGAGGAAUCUGGCAAGAGAGAUUGUGACCCAAGAGUGGGGUGAAAUUGGGAAAAUUUAAGUAUUAAUAUCAGGAUGUGACUGUGGUGUGGUAGAUGAAGUGGAAUGGAGGAAAAGGAUAUGAGAGAUGAAGAUUUUUAUAACUGAGAGGCCAAGCAAUGGACAGAUAUGCCACAUGAACCUAAUUAGGACUUUAAAAAGACCAUCCAGGAUGAUGUUUGGAAUGAGGGUGGAGAGCCAAGUGCUAAGUCUUUAGAGACUAAAAGGGAGUGACCAGGAGGCUGGUAAGAGGACAGAUGUCAGAAGGUGUAUUCUGUUGACAGCAGCCCAAAAACAAUGAUUUAUUGUUUUAAGGAAAGUGGAAGCAAAGAAGAUCCUAUUCUUAUCUGCAGACCCCUGAGGUAGGUAGGAUUUUAGACAAUAAACAGCACUCAUGAGAGGCUGCUAUGGAAGCACUGUCAUUAGCCAAACUGUAAACACGUGUUGAGGGUGAAUAUUGGCUCAUCACCGAAGCUGCAAUUCCAAAGAAUAUGUGGGAAGAAAGGGCUUUGUAGGGCACAUAGGAGUAGGGGUUAGACCAGCAAGAAAGGACACAGUUUUUUUUUGUUUGUUUGUUUUUUUGAGAGGGAGUCUCGCUCUGUCGCCCAGGCUGGAGUGCAGUGGUGCGAUCUCGGCUCACUGCAAGCUCCACCUCCCGGGUUCACACCAUUCUUCUGCCUCAGCCUCCGGAGUAGCUGGGACUACAGGCGUCCACCACCACGCCCGGCUAAUUUUUUGUAUUUUUAGUAGAGACGGGGUUUCACCGUGUUAGCCAGGAUGGUCUUGAUCUCCUGACCUCGUGAUCCACCCGCCUCGGCCUCCCAAAGUGCUGGGAUUACAGGCAUGAGCCACCGUGGAAAGGACACAGUUUUAUGUGCGUUCAAGAUGUCAAAGCGAGGACGUGGUAGGUCCUCUGGUGUGAAAUUCUGGAUUUCCUUGGGUCUUCCAGUAGGAGCUGUGAUCAACUGCUGACAACACAGGAGCCAAAAACCUGUAUAUCAUCUCCGUGAAGGGGAUCAAGGGACAGCGGAACAGACUUUCUGCUGCUAGUGUGGGUGACAUGGUGAUGGCCACAGUCAAGAAGGGCAAACCAGAGCUCAGAAAAAUGGUACAUCCAGCAGCGGUCAUUAGACAACCAAAGUCAUACCGGAGAAAAGAUGGCACUGUUUAAGAGUACCAUGGAGAUAGCCUCACCUUCAAAGGAUUUACAGACUUGCUGGAAAAUCUAAACAUGAGAAACUGUUAAAUCAAUGAGACUAUUUUCAAGUUCCCAAAGCAGUAAUAUCCUACUGACUUCUGGGUAAAAAAAUAAACCAGUUAUAAGUUGAUGUCCUAGGAAAAUCGAAGAGAGAUCUGUGUGGCCUGGAGUAGUUGAGGAACAUGGCAAGAGGCAUGGAUCCCUGUUGCAAAAGGUGGAAAGUCUCGUCAGAAUACAAGGAAAUGAAAUGAAGAGAUAUUUCCAGCAAGAACAGACAAAAUUUAGGAAACAAUUAGUAAAUAGGAGCACAGAAAAUCAUUCCAGUCUUGUCCUUCAAGUUUUUUUUUUUUUUUUCCCCCUGGGUAAGUCUGCACUGAAGUUAGGCUAGAUUCUUGACUGUCCUUUCCGAAAUCCAUGCUAAUCCAACUCACUGUCUCUGUCCCUCUCUCGUCCCCAUUUUGAAUGUUCUCCCUUUUAUUUUACUUUUCCUAAUGUUUUCCAAGCUUUGGGCUUUGGCUUGGAAAGCCUAUCUGACUACUCAAGCACAUGUUAAUCUUCCCCUUCUGUAGCAUUUUUGAUAUGUGACACCCACAUUUUCAGUGAAUGGCAUGAUAUCUAGUAGUGUUUCCAAUGUGUUAAACUGUUUGCAGCUAUAUUGUAUAACUCUCAAGAAUGAGGACACUACAAUUUGUAUAACCAAUGUACCAUGAUAUAUGUAACCAAUGAUUUAUUUUAAACAAACAAUAUUUGUUGAGUUGAUUUUUUUUUUUUUUUUUUGAGACGGAGUCUUGUUCUGUUGCCCAGGCUGGGGUGCAGUGGCGCGAUCUUGGCUCACUGCAACCUCUGCCUCCUGGGUUCAAGCAAUUCUCCUGCCUCAGCCUCCCACAUAGCUGGGGUUACAGGUGCGUGCCACCGUGCCUAGCUAGUUUUUGUAUUUUUGGUAGAGACGAGGUUUCACCAUCGUGGCCAGGCUGGUCUUGAAUUCCUGAUCUCAGGUGAUCCACCCACCUUGGCUUCCCAAAGUGCUGGGAUUAUAGGCAUCGGUCACUGCACCCAGCCUGAGUUGAUUUUUAAUUACAUAAUUAAUACAUGAAGAUGUUGUCCUUGUAUAAAAUAAAAUCUUACAGAUAAGGCUUAAUUUCCUUUGACUAUAACUCUUAACCCUAAUGUCUUUUCUUGCCACUUUUUCCCACAAAAAGUCACUACAAUGAUCAGACUGGUAUGUAUUCUUGCAGAUCUUUAUUUUAUUAUUAUUUUUUUUUGAGACGGAGUCUCACUUUGUCACCCAGGCUGAAGUGCAGAGGCGCGAUCUUGGCUCACUGCAACCUCCACCUCCUGGGUUCAAGCAAUUCUCCUGCCUCAGCCUCCCUAGUAGCUGGGAUUACGGCUGCCUGCCACCAUGCCCAGCUAAUUUUUGUAUUUUAGUAGCAACGGCGUUUCACCAUGUUGGUCAGGCUUGUCUCAAACUCCUGACCUCAAGCAAUCCACCCACCUCGGCCUCCCCAAGUGUUGGGAUUACAGGCGUGAGCCACCGCACCCGGCCUAUUCUCUGUAUUUAUAUUAUAUAUAUAUGCAUAAAUAUAUAUAUAUAUAUAUUAUUGUGUUGUGG
rnacentral:lncRNA from 1 species